rnacentral:rRNA from 1 species
GACGAACGCUGGCGGCGUGCUUAACACAUGCAAGUCGAACGGAAAGGCCCUGCUCUUGUGGGGUGCUCGAGUGGCGAACGGGUGAGUAACACGUGAGUAACCUGCCCUUGACUUUGGGAUAACUUCAGGAAACUGGGGCUAAUACCGGAUAGGAGCUCCUGCUGCAUGGUGGGGGUUGGAAAGUUUCGGCGGUUUGGGAUGGACUCGCGGCUUAUCAGCUUGUUGGUGGGGUAGUUGCGUACCAAGGCUUUGACGGGUAGCCCGCCUGAGAGGGUGACCGGGCACAUUGGGACUGCGAUACGGCCCAGACUCCAACGGGAGGCAGCGGUGGGGAGUAUUGCACAGUAGGCGCAAGCCUGAUGCAGCAGCGCCGCGUGCGGGAUGACGUCCUUCGAGUUGUAAACCGCUUUCGCCUGUGACGAAGCGUGAGUGACGGUACUGGGUAAGAAAGCACCGGCUAACUACGUG